rnacentral:rRNA from 1 species
UACGUAGGGGGCAAGCGUUAUCCGGAUUUACUGGGUGUAAAGGGGGCGCAGACGGCAGCGCAAGCCAGGAGUGAAAGCCCGGGGCCCAACCCCGGGACUGCUUUGGAAACUGCGAGGCUGGAGUGCUGGAGAGGUAAGCGGAAUUCCUGGUGUAGCGGUGAAAUGCGUAGAUAUCAGGAGGAACACCGGUGGCGAAGGCGGCUUACUGGACAGUGACUGACGUUGAGGCUCGAAAGCGUGGGGAGCGAACAGG